ACGAACGCUGGCGGCGUGCUUAACACCUGCAAGUCGAACGAAGAGCGAUGGAAGCUUGCUUCUAUCAAUCUUAGUGGCGAACGGGUGAGUAACGCGUAAUCAACCUGCCCUUCAGAGGGGGACAACAGUUGGAAACGACUGCUAAUACCGCAUACGAUCUAAUCUCGGCAUCGAGGAUAGAUGAAAGGUGGCCUCUACAUGUAAGCUAUCACUGAAGGAGGGGAUUGCGUCUGAUUAGCUAGUUGGAGGGGUAACGGCCCACCAAGGCGAUGAUCAGUAGCCGGUCUGAGAGGAUGAACGGCCACAUUGGGACGGAGACACGGCCCAGACUCCUACGGGAGGCAGCAGUGGGGAAUCUUCCGCAAGAGACGAAAGUCUGACGGAGCAACGCCGCGUGAGCGAUGACGGCCUUCGGGUUGUAAAGCUCUGUUAAUCGGGACGAAAGGCCUUCUUGCGAAUAGUGAGAAGGAUUGACGGUACCGGAAUAGAAAGCCACGGCUAACUACGUG
rnacentral:rRNA from 1 species